CCUACGGGGGGCAGCAGUGGGGAAUAUUGGACAAUGGGGGGAACCCUGAUCCAGCCAUGCCGCGUGUGUGAAGAAGGCCCUCGGGUUGUAAAGCACUUUCAGUGAGGAAGAACGCCUGGUGGUUAAUACCCAUCAGGAAAGACAUCACUCACAGAAGAAGCACCGGCUAACUCCGUGCCAGCAGCCGCGGUAAUACGGAGGGUGCGAGCGUUAAUCGGAAUUACUGGGCGUAAAGCGCGCGUAGGUGGCUUGAUAAGCCGGUUGUGAAAGCCCCGGGCUCAACCUGGGAACGGCAUCCGGAACUGUCAAGCUAGAGUGCAGGAGAGGAAGGUAGAAUUCCCGGUGUAGCGGUGAAAUGCGUAGAGAUCGGGAGGAAUACCAGUGGCGAAGGCGGCCUUCUGGACUGACACUGACACUGAGGUGCAAAAGCGUGGGUAGCAAACAGGAUUAGAUACCCCAGUAGUC
rnacentral:rRNA from 1 species